CGAGGGAAGAGAAAAAAAAGUGAGUGCCUCAUAUUUCGUAGCGAAUGUUUCGGAAAUCCACAUUUUCGUGGAGUGAGAGUGGGGUUUUUGCCUUCGUCGUCUGGCUUCGGUUGUUUCUGGCCAUUUUCUGAAGAGAAAAUUAGGGGACCUUAGUAUUCGUGGGCAGUUGCGAUUCGAGCAAAACCCUAAUGACAGAUGCUUCUGAACGAGAAGAAUCUGGAUUGAAUGAGCGAGAGAGAGAGAGAGAGGGGUUUGUGAAAGGGAUUGAGGGAUCGGUUUUGGGCGGUGCAGUCCCACUGCUCUCUCACCACGUCCUCCACUCCGUGUACAUAUAUGGAGAACAUGUACAAAGACCAAUAAACAGCAAUACAUUGAAAUCACUCA